rnacentral:rRNA from 1 species
GAUUAACGCGAAGAACCUUACCAGGGUUUGACAUGCACCUGACCCUCCUGGAAACAGGGGUCCCGCAAGGGCAGGUGCACAGGUGCUGCAUGGCUGUCGUCAGCUCGUGCCGUGAGGUGUUGGGUUAAGUCCCGCAACGAGCGCAACCCUUGUCGUCGGUUACUGGUGUCCGAGGAGACUGCCACGAUCAACGUGGAGGAAGGUGGGGAUGACGUCAAGUCAGCACGGCCCUGACAUCCUGGGCGACACACACGCUACAAUGGCUGGGACAAAGAGUCGCCAACCCGUGAGGGGGAGCCAAUCUCACAAACCCGGUCUCAGUUCAGAUUAGAGGCUGCAACCCGCCUCUAUGAAGGUGGAGUUGCUAGUAACCGUGAGUCAGCACAUCACGGUGAAUACGUUCCCGGGCCUUGUACACACCGAAUCACUAGU